UACAUGUGGGGCAAGCGUUGUUCGGAAUUACUGGGCGUAAAGGGUGCGUAGGCGGGUCUUUAAGUCAGGGGUGAAAUCCUGGAGCUCAACUCCAGAGCUGCCUUUGAUACUGAGGAUCUUGAGUUCGGGAGAGGUGAGUGGAACUGCGAGUGUAGAGGUGAAAUUCGUAGAUAUUCGCAAGAACACCAGUGGCGAAGGCGGCUCACUGGCCCGAUACUGACGCUGAGGCACGAAAGCGUGGGGAGCAAACAGG
rnacentral:rRNA from 1 species